CCUACGGGAGGCAGCAGUGGGGGAUAUUGCACAAUGGGGGAAACCCUGAUGCAGCGACGCCGCGUGAGGGAAGAAGCUUUUCGGAUUGUAAAGCUCUGUCCUCUGUGAAGAUAAUGACGGUAGCAGAGGAGGAAGCCCCGGCUAACUACGUGCCAGCAGCCGCGGUAAUACGUAGGGGGCAAGCGUUGUCCGGAUUUACUGGGUGUAAAGGGUGCGUAGGCGGGCGUGCAAGUCAGAAGUGAAAUCUAUGGGCUUAACCCAUGAACUGCUUUUGAAACUGUAAGUAUUGAGUGAAGUAGAGGUAGGCGGAAUUCCCGGUGUAGCGGUGAAAUGCGUAGAGAUCGGGAGGAACACCAGUGGCGAAGGCGGCCUACUGGGCUUUAACUGACGCUGAGGCACGAAAGCGUGGGUAGCAAACAGGAUUAGAUACCCUUGUAGUC
rnacentral:rRNA from 1 species